rnacentral:lncRNA from 1 species
CAUAUUUUUUUUCCCUGUCCGCCCAAGGCGUCACAAUCGGUAUAAUUCAAAACAUUCCAAACAGGAAUAAAACUUAUACACAUAUUGUAUAAGAAAGGCAUCAUAAACAUAGAUAACUAUGUUAUUACAAACAUUCAUCUCAUUCACUUUACAUUUACAAUCUUCCAAAUACAAUCAAAUUUGUUACAUUUCUUUCAUUCUUUUCAAACUCUUAAGCUACACCGAUCC